GUGCUUGCUUUGGCAACACAUAUACUAGAAAUGAAAUGAGAUUGGCAUAGCCCUUGCACAAGGAUGACAUGCAUAUCUCUGAAGCAUUCCAUAUUUUC
rnacentral:snRNA from 1 species